rnacentral:rRNA from 1 species
UACGAAGGGGGCUAGCGUUGUUCGGAUUUACUGGGCGUAAAGCGCACGUAGGCGGAUCGUUAAGUCGGGGGUGAAAUCCUGGAGCUCAACUCCAGAACUGCCUUCGAUACUGGCGAUCUUGAGUCCGGAAGAGGUGAGUGGAACUCCUAGUGUAGAGGUGAAAUUCGUAGAUAUUCGCAGGAACACCAGUGGCGAAGGCGGCUCACUGGCCCGAUACUGACGCUGAGGCACGAAAGCGUGGGGAGCAAACAGG